rnacentral:pre_miRNA from 1 species
CAAGGCACUUGUUUAACAGCUGAGUGAUUUAGAGCAAUCAAAUUCCUUUAGCUUUAAAUCAUGCAGUUGUUGAACAAGCUCUUGC